rnacentral:rRNA from 1 species
GAUGAACGCUGGCGGCGUGCCUAAUACAUGCAAGUAGAACGCUGAAGGAAGGAGCUUGCUCUUUCCGGAUGAGUUGCGAACGGGUGAGUAACGCGUAGGUAACCUGCCUGGUAGCGGGGGAUAACUAUUGGAAACGAUAGCUAAUACCGCAUAACAGUAGAUGUUGCAUGAUAUCUACUUAAAAGGUGCAAUUGCACCACUACCAGAUGGACCUGCGUUGUAUUAGCUAGUUGGUGAGGUAACGGCUCACCAAGGCGACGAUACAUAGCCGACCUGAGAGGGUGAUCGGCCACACUGGGACUGAGACACGGCCCAGACUCCUACGGGAGGCAGCAGUAGGGAAUCUUCGGCAAUGGACGGAAGUCUGACCGAGCAACGCCGCGUGAGUGAAGAAGGUUUUCGGAUCGUAAAGCUCUGUUGUAAGAGAAGAACGAGUGUGCGAGUGGAAAGUUCACACUGUGACGGUAUCUUACCAGAAAGGGACGGCUAACUACGUG